UUUCAAAUAAAAAUUAGUAUAUCAAAUAAAAUCCAAAGUACAAACGACCAUCUAACAAAUCAAAAGUUACAUCCACCAGAAUAAUCAAAUAUCUAAUAAAUCAAAAAUUACAUCCACUCCUUUCAAAAAAAAAAAUCUUCUUUUCUUAGUGUUUGCCUUCAGGUAUUAAGUAUUUCUUUGACUUAUAUGAUUUUUUUUAUUAAUUGUCUGCCUUUAAUUACUUGUAGUAUGAUUUCGGUAAUAUAUGUGUGUUUGUAAUGCUUUGACGAUAUGAACAGUCUGCAUUCUUUGCUUCAAAUCGUCUUCUUUAUUUAGAAUCACAUGAAUAUGUUUAUAUAUCAUGGAUCUACACAUCCUAGGCUUUCCAUUGAUAGGUUUUGUGUUGAAAUACUCUGAGUAUGCAAAUUGUUAUGAUUUUUUUCGAGGUUGGGUUACUGGUGCUGGAAAAUUCCGAUUUUCAGCAGCAGUUCUCACUUCUGGAAAUUUUUCUGUAAGGUUAUUCAUCUUUAAAAAUUAUGGAGAUUUUUGUAUCAACAGAUCUAUGUCUCGCAUGACUGAAAAUUUAAUUUUGUGAUUUUAUUCAUUAUAAUUAAAUUAUUAAAAAUCAUAACCUACGGCUGCUGCAGAUCUAGAAACUGUUUUCCAGAAUUGCAGAAACUGAAGCAUGUAACAGUUUGGGCUAAUUUAUGAACAUUAUAUGCCAUGUUAGGAUUCUACAAUGAAAUUUCAAUCUUUCCUCUGUCUUUAAAAGCUGGAAUCUUGAUUUUUGGGCAUGUAAAAUAAAAGAUAUGAAUUGUUUAAAUUCUGUCUUCAAAUCUGGAAUGUUUUUGGACAGGUUAUAUGUUUUCGGAAAUAAAACGGUUUUAAAAUAGUAUCAGGCAUCCAAAAUUUAAGAAUUUUACUUAUAUGAUUUUUUAAUGUGUUUAAUGUAAUUAGAAAAAGAAACGGAUUAUUUCGAGUACUAGAGAAUAUUUUAUGAAUUUCCUAAGUGGUAAAGGUCUGUUUUGGUCAAUGCUGGACAGUUUUGUUACUUUGGUGAAAUGUCAAUAUUCUGACUUGAUUUUCACUUGUGCUGAUUUUUGUGAAAUUUUGUAUGCAAUGCUAUGCAUGUUCACAGUGCCUCUGUAAAAUUUCAUGGUUUUCCAACAUGUGCAUAGGUUAUUAAAAAUCAGCAUGUGCAGGAUACUCAUGUUUAUGUCUAGAAUAUGUAUAAGUAUUGAACCAGUAUAAGUGCCUAUGAUUUAAGGAUGAUUGGGAUUAUGUUUAAGGUUAGAAAUAAUAUUGAUAAAGAUAUUUUUAUGAUGAUUAUAAGACGUGGGUGAGCUCGUUGGUUUGUUCUUGAGGUAUUGAAUUGAUUGCUGUGGUUCGAGGUAAGUAGAUUCAUGCAUAAUGUGCUUUAUAAUAAGGGAGAAUAUCAUUUUCCUACUAAAGUUUUUAUGACAUAUUAAGUUAGUACCAUGCUUUGGCAAAAACUGUAUUUUACCACCAAAUGUUUAAUUUCUUAUCGCUUCGCUACUUUUCCAUUAAAAAUAAGUUAAUAUUUAACGGAAUAUGAGUUAAAAGACGAUUUUGGGCAUGGAGCAUUGAAGACAAUUUUAGCCAUGGAAAAGAAAGAAAUAACAAAAAAGAAAACUACAAACUUAUUCUAGCAAGUAUCCGUUAAUUAAAAAUAUCUCGCAUAAGAUUUUUUGAGAAUUAAGAUGGUAAUACAAAUGAAAAAAGAAUCCGGCAAUGACAAAUCUACACAAAGGGAUUAUAGAGAUAGAAAUAGAUUAAAUACUUCUACUAGAUAUUAUAACAAAUUAAACUCCAAUCUUUAACGCCACACUAACAUGAAAGGCUAAAGAGAGAACGUCAUACAGACAGAUUCAGAUCAAACAAACCCAAGAUUUUAAUCAGAUCAAAAAGCAUGAACAUGCGACCUAUAAAGCGAAAAAAAAGAAAAACAAAUAGGGUCAUAUUUGGCUGAUUUUAGAGAACCAGCCAGGAAUAACAGAGGAAAUACAAUCAAGCUGUUUGUUAGAGCCCAUCUCCAUCGACACAUUCCCGUUAUUGUUGUUAUUAGCCUCCUUCUCUCUGUCAUCUCUCGACCUCUUCACUGGCAAAUCACUAGCAGUAAUAGACCCAGUUUCCGCCAUAACAUAUAUUAUUAUUUAUUAUUCUCUCGGCUUUCAAUUCCCUAAAAACCAACAACCACUUCACUUUUAUGGUGUGUUUACUUUAUGGAAUAGGGAAUGAGAAUGAAGGAAUGAGAAUGAAACUCAUGUUUACUAGGCAAAAUGUAAUUUGGGAAUAGGAAUAAAAUAUGUGGAUCCCACACAAUUUGGGAAUAAGGAAUGAGAAUCUCAUUCCCAUAGGGGGGUUGGGAAUGAAAAUGAAAUAUAUGUUUACUUUUGUAUCCCUCAACUUUUUUCAUAUUUCCCAAAUUACCCUCAUUCAAAUCACAAUUAAUUUUAUUAUUUUAAAUGUCAUUAAUAA
rnacentral:lncRNA from 1 species